rnacentral:misc_RNA from 1 species
GCACUCGGCGGGGAAGCCCUGGGGGAAGCGCCAGCCGUCGGCGCAGUAGUUGUAGGACAUGUAGUUGCGCUCGGCCCACGCGACGGUGCCGAGCUCGGCGCCGUCGAGCUCGCGGUGGAUCCACGCCGACGUGCCCUCGGGGCACCACGACGACGACCACCCGCCGGCGGGAUUGUUGUUGACGCACGCGUUGGUGCUGUACCCGCGGUACGACACCACGAACGGCGCGCCGCUCCAG